UUGAACUUGAAACAAUACUUAUAAGACUUUUAUUGUAAGAUUUUAAAAUCAAUAACUGUGAUUCAUAAAAACUUGCUUAAAUAGUUUCAUUGAUUAAAUACCACAGAGAAUGCUGUGAACUAUUUAGGUGUUAGAUAUCUACAGUGCUUGUCUUCUAAAAAUACUCAAUUUGAUUAAUGUAGUUAAUCUUGUUUUUUAAAAACACUUUCUGUAUGCAAGAUACUUUGUUAGCCUCUGGGAGAUACAGUAUUUAAAGGUGUCUGUUCUCAAAUAGUUUUGCAGGUUACAAGAGCCAAGACAGUCACAAAACCUCACAGUAAAGAGCAUAAUGUGAGACACAUCACAAUACAGGAACACAGGGGCCCAGAUGGGGAACAGUUACUUCUCCGGCAUUCUAGCCCGCUAAGCAAGUGGACGCAGCAGCGUUUGCCAGGUUUGGAGAAGGUUUCUCAACCAAAGACACACUGCUACUUGCAGUUGGAAAUCCACUUGUCAGCACUGAAGGAGCCAGAGAGCCAAAGGAAGACUCAAGCUGAUACCAUAGCACCUGCCCCCAAAUAAAACACUCAAAACUGUGGGUUUCCUUGGCAGCUCCAUGAUUUCUGUGCAGAAGGGGUGACAAUGGCUGGAAUCCUUGCCUUGAAGCUGUAUUUGCAUCGUACUUUAAGACUGAGAAGGCCUUGGGCUCUGGAGCAGAGAAGGACCCAGAAAAUCCUACUCAAGUGGAGCUUAGAGUCUUAAUAGGGAGAGGGAACAAACAGAAUCAAGAUAAUCUGAGAUAAAUCAUCAGUGGUAUGAUGAACAUGAAGACCGAGCAACGCAUUUGCAGCAACAUGGAGGGGCCUAGAGAUUGUCCUACUAAUGGAGGUAAGUCAGACAGAGAAGGGGAAAUAGCAUAUGCCAUCCCUUAUAUGUGGAAU